UGGGGUAGAGAUGUAGCAUCAAACAUUCAUGGAUGUCCAGGGAGCGCGGGCCCAUAGGAUGCUGGCCAGAGGUACUAGGAAGGCGCAGGAGCCGGACGAGGAUGCAUCUUCUUUCCCUGCCUUGGAAAGGGGCUGUUCACAAUGUAUGCUGGACCAUGGUGAGUCCUGAGGUGGUCACAACAGAAGCUUGCCUUGGGCCCAUCUGUCUCCUGCUGCUGUCCACAAGAUGGAGAAGGCGGAAGCAACCUGAGGAGGCCUCUUUGUCUGUAAGGAUAGAAGGUCCAUUGUGGAGGGGAGAGAUACAGGAGCUAUAUAGGCGAGGCUCUACCAGCCCUGCAUCUCUUAUCUCCAGAAUUCUUUUACAGAAAAGAAAAAUAAACUUUUAUCUGGUUUACGCCA